UACGGAGGGGGCAAGCGUUGUUCGGAUUUACUGGGCGUAAAGGGUCCGUAGGCGGUUGUGUAAGUCUGGUGUGAAAUCUUCGCCGCUUAACGGGAAGCAGCCACUGGAAACUGCAUAACUUGAGUCUGGUAGAGGCAAGCGGAAUUCCUGGUGUAGCGGUGGAAUGUGUAGAUAUCAGGAGGAACACCAAUUGCGAAGGCAGCUCGCUGGGACGUUACUGACGCUGAGACGCGAAAGCGUGGGGAGCAAACAGG
rnacentral:rRNA from 1 species